UGGUUUUUAAAAGCGUACGUCAGUGAGGUUGUCCACCUUUGACCCAGGUAGUGCGCGGUAAGGGUUCCGACCUGCGCUAUACGGUGAUGUUGCAGCUUGAUGACCCGGGAAACGGCCAUCUGCAUGCUGCCAAACACAGCCACCACCUCCAGGAUCUUAUCGUCAAACGACGGAGCGCAGAAAAUCUGCAAAGGACCAGCAGCCAACUUACGUCGUCCUCCUUGGUGCCGCCCCAGAAGUUGGUGCCGCCCGCGUAGCUGGGAAUGUUCAGGACGGCGAUGCCCUGCAGGCUGGGCAGGGGGAUGUACUGGCCGUCACACUGGUUCUUGUAGGUUCUCUGGAGGAGCUCCUUUGUUCCCAGAACGCCGUACCACAUCAUGUUCUUGUUCUUACAGUGAGUCCAGGUCUGGGUCGAUGAAGGGGGUGGCACCAAAGGGGUCAAUGUUGGCCAGCAGCAUCUUGCUAAUGAUGGAACUUCCUGCUAUGGAGGCUGCCAGACCCGCCCGCAGUCCUGCACAUGUGACAUGUGUCAUGUGACAGCCAAUCACUCAAUGACAUGGAACAGCACGGAUUGAUUCACACCGCAUUUGUGCUGGUAAACUGCAUAACAUGGACAUAUGAUGCGCGUGUUGAGCACAGGCAGGUUCUCCUUGCUGGUGGUGAAGGGCGUGAUGCUGAAGGAACUGUACGACUGCGUGCUGCGACUCACCCUCCUCUCGAGAUGGCGAAGAGGGCAAAAAGCAUAAAAUGUGUCCUGGCUGCUCAGUACAGCAUGGCAAAGUCAACAAUAACUAUAAACACGGUUGACCCUCCUCACACUGGAACCUUGCAGUAAUGUGGGUGAGUACACACUUCAUUGAUUAUUUGUCUUAUUACUAUCAAAAAUAGUGGUUGACUUCUUUUAUACUUGUAUAACAAUUAGGAAAAAGUUGCCUGGAAAGUCCAAUGAAGGCCACAGCUCAACCC